rnacentral:rRNA from 1 species
AGUGAACGCUGGCGGUAGGCCUAACACAUGCAAGUCGAACGGCAGCACAGUAAGAGCUUGCUCUUACGGGCGGUGAGUGGAGGACGGGCGAGGAAUACAUCGGAAUGUACUUUUUCGUGGGGGCUCAAGUAGGGAAACUUACGCUAAUACCGCAUAUGCCCUACGGGUGAAUGCAGGCGCAUUUCGGACCUUGCGCGAUUGUAUGAGCCGAUGUUGGACUAGCUAGUUGGCGGCGUAAAGGCCAACUAAGGCGACGAUCCGUAGCUGGUCUGAGAAGGUGAUCAGCCACAGUGGAACUGAGACACGGUCCAGACACCUACGGAAGGCGACAGUGGGGAAUAUUGGACGAUGGGCAGAAGCCUGAUCCAGCCAAACCGCGUGGAUAAAGAAAGCCUUCGGGUUGUAGAGCCCUUUUGGUGGGAAAGAAAAUCAGCAGGUUAAUACCCCGCUGUUCUGACGGUACCCAAAGGAUAAAAACCGGCUAACUUCGUG